GCUUAAGUAGUUUAUUUGAAAAUGUUGAUUUGUGGUGUCAAUGAAAUAAUUAUUGUUAUCUUGAGUU
rnacentral:tRNA from 1 species